CGUGUGGGUACCUAUUAUUACUACCACUACUGCUGCUGCUGCUGCCACUCCUACAUAUGCGCACAAGUACACUAUAUAUAUGCGAAUACACCUGUGUGUAUUAUGCUAUGUGUGUGUCUGUGUGGGUGUGUAGGUGAUGGGGUAGUGGUUGUAUUAUAGUAUAGUAUAUAUAGUAGUAUACGGCAAAGGCAAAGACACAAGCACGGCGAGUACGACGAACAAACCCAUUUCACACAUGAGUGUGCGCCACACACGCGACUGCUCCUUUUUUUUUCUGCCUUGCCACCACCCCAUAUGUAUAUUAUAUAUAUAUAUAUAUAAGGGUGUGUGUGUGGUGAGAGAAAAUAGGAAAUGAUUGCGUGUGUGUCGCCGCCACGAACCUGUCAGAUGCUUUCUUACGGUAUUUUGUUGCAUGCACCCGCGUACACACAAUAUACACACACAAAAAAAACACCGAUAUGAUGGCGAGUGUGCGAUUCUCCUUUUAUUGUCUUUUUCCUCCUUUUCUGUGCUCUCUGCUGUGUGCCAAUAAAACACACUCCUCCUAUGUUUGGUGUAGUGUGUGUUAUUUAUUGUCCGCGCAAAAAAAAAAAGCGAGUAGAGAAACGGGGGAAAAAGUAGUAAAUAAAUGGAGGACUGCUUCGCAGCUGCCCUGCCGCACUGUUUUUGCUGCUGGGUUCGCAACGCGAUGCUGUUGAGAGUGAAAUCACAUCACAAAAAGCACCCCUCAGACUGGUGUGAAGUGUGAAGUAUGUGUACAAAUGCGUGUGUGUGUGUAUACACAUUGACGAAUAGCAUACCAGGGAAAAAAGGGAGGACACUCUCUUUCGUGCGUGCUGAACUCUGUGUGUGUGUGCUGCCGUUUUGUUUGCAGCUUGAAAUGCUUGGUUGAAUAGAAAUCGGUACUUGAUUGUUGCCGCAUUUCGAGGAAUUUCAUCCAAAAAAAAAAAGAGGUCAACAACAACCAACUGACAAACUUUGUGUUGGACCUGUGUAUGUGGUGGUGUGGUGGGGGAAGAGAAACACACACACAGACAAACACAAACACCAUGUCAUUUUGGCAUGCGUGUGCGUGCGUGCGUGCGUUGAAUAUCCUCCACACACAAAUAUAUAUAUAUAAUAAUACCACAACAACAUUUCAAAGGAUCAUCAA
rnacentral:rRNA from 1 species